rnacentral:tRNA from 1 species
AUUUAUUUAGUAUAUGUGUACAUUUGACUUCCAAUCAAAAAGAUUGAAAUAAUUCAAAAUAAAUA